UUUAACUUGAAAAUUUUGCUUUUUGCGUAAAUUAAAACGGUUGGGGAGUGAAAGUGCUCCAAGAAGUGUCUCAUUGGUUAGCUCUCGUCUUCAUCUCCCACGAUGCAGCAGCGAUCACGGCGGAGCAGACUUCUUGAGCAGAAGUUCAACCUUCCCGCCAUAAUCGUCUUUUUAAGCUUGCUGAGGUUCAUCUGCAAACUGCUGAUAGAGCGGAGACUGAAUCAAAAAAUUCCAAUGGAUCCUCUAAAUUUCUCAAAAUGCAAUCAGCUGGUAAACAUGAUGUUUUAAUUAGCUUUAGAGGCGAAGAUUCUGAUGUUGGUGAUCAGACAGGUAGUUUCCGAGAAGCGUUUUUGAAGCAUGAAGAGUGUUUGAUGGUGAGUCAGCUUAGAGUGCUGAGCUCGAGAUUUGCCAGUGGCGGAACUAGGGAGGGUCGAGGAGUGUUGGCCGACCCUCCUUGCCGGAAAAAGUUCAAAAAAAAAAAAGAGUUUUUUGGGAUUUUUUUAGUAGGGGCGGUUUACAUGCGUUAGGGGAGGUUUUUUUUCCUGUAGGGGCGGUUUGCAUAUUUACAGAUUCACAGCGUAUUACUGACGUUUGAUUUUUUUUAAAUAGCCGAACGUAAAACUUUCGACCCUCCUAAAUUGGAGUCCUGGUUCCGCCAUUGACCUUGAUGGAGGUUGCUAAUGCUUUAACUGUAAUUGACCGUAUGCAGUGAAGAGAUAGGGAAAAUGUGUUUCAUGCCUUGCAGAUUGGUCUUGUUGACCGGGAUUGUGUUGAUGCAGAACUGUAUGAUGAUUAUGAGACAGCUAAGGCUCGUGAGCGAGCCUAUGUUCUCUGCAAUGUGUUUCAUGCCUUGCAGAAAAGAUUAGCAAAGAAAGCUCCUACUCAGGAGAUAUAGUCAAAGAAUGCUGCAAAAACAAAAAGAUUAUUGAUAUGAUGUUGUUUAAAAAGCCUAUACUGCGAAUGAGUAUUGCUGCUGUCCAUCUCAUGGUAGCUUCUUUUAUCUUGGAAUCUGCUUUAACCGAUACUUUCGUCUCCCAAGUAGCCACAGUUCUGAAACAAGAAUCGUGAGCAUUUCAUUGGUCUUCUAGUGCUAGAACGAAAAGAAAGUGUUUGUUUGUUCACACUCACAAGUCUAUGCUGUUUUCUGGCAAACAGAAUGUUUUCAUUAGCUUCAGAGGCGAAGAUACUCGCCUUAAUUUCACCAGCCACCUCUACACUGCCUUGAUUGAAAAGAAAAUCCCAAUCCCAACUUUCAUCGACAAUAAUAUCGUACGAGGACAAGAGAUUUGGCCGUCGCUCGUCAAAGAAAUUGAAGAUUCCAAGAUUUCAAUCGUUGUUCUUUCACAAAAUUAUGCAUCUUCAGAAUGGUGCUUGGAGGAGCUCGUAAAGAUUCUUGAUUGCUUCAAAAAUAAUGGGCAGAUGGUUAUCCCUGUUUUUUACAAGGUUGACCCCACUGAUGUUUGUGAUCAGACUGGUAGCUUUGGAGAAGCGUUUUUGAAGCAUGAAAUGGUGGAUCAGCUUAAAGUGCAGAGGUGGAGAUGUGCCUUGACGGAGGUUGCUAAUCUUGCUGGCUGGGAUUCAUCCGUCACCCGGCCAGAAUCUGAACUUAUCAAGCAGAUCAUCAAAGAUGUUUCUGAAAAAUUGAGUAGAAUUUCACCAAGUUACCAUUUGAGAGGUUUGGUUGGCAUUGAGCCCCGGAUUCAAAAAAUUAUAUCUAUGUUAUGCUUGGAAUCAGCAGAAGUCGGGCUCAUUGGGAUAUGGGGUAUGGGCGGGGUUGGUAAGACCACUCUAGCUCGAGCUGUGUAUGAUCAAAUUUCUACUCAGUUCGAAAGUUGUUGCUUUAUUUCAAAUAUGAAGCAGCAAUUGGAAAAUUGUACGUUGUCUCAAUUGCAAGACCAACUGUUCUCAACAUUGUUAGACAAAGAAAGUGUUAAUUUAGUUUUGUCUUUUAUAAAGGACCGUCUAUGUCGUAAGAAAGUUCUUGUUGUUGUUGAUGACGCGAAUAAUUCUACACAAUUGCAACAGUUGUUGUUAACCAGCGAGCCUGAUUUUUUUGGUUCAGGCAGUAGAAUUCUCGUAACAAGUAGGGAUAAGCAAGUUCUCAAGAAUAACUGUGCGGCUGGGAUUUAUACAAUGCAGGAACUGAACGAAGAUGAGGCUCUUUGUCUCUUUAACUUAAAUGCCUUCAAACAAGACCAUCCCAAGAGUGCUCCUUUUAAGUUGCAGUCCGGAAGCGUGAUACGAUAUGCUAAAGGGAAUCCGUUGGCUCUUAAAGUUUUGGGAUCUGCAUUGUAUGAUAGAAGUGAUGAAGAUUGGAAAAGUAUGCUGAAAAGAUUAGGCAAUAUCUCCAAUAGUGAAAUUCAUAAUAUUUUGAGAACAAGUUUUGAUGGCCUCGAUUCUGAAGAGCAAAGAGUGUUUCUCGAUAUUGCAUGUUUCCUUAACGGGAGAAGCCGAGACGAUGUGACCAAAACAUUAGGUGGUUUUGAUUCUUCUGUGCGUUUUACGGUUACUACUCUUAUUGAUAAGUCUCUCAUUACUGUUUCCUCGGACAACAAAUUAGAGAUUCAUGAUUUGUUGCAGGAAAUGGGUCAAAAAAUUGUUCUUGAUGAGUCUAGGCAACCUGAAAGUCGAAGUAGGUUGUGGAACCCUGAGGAUAUCAGCUACUUAUUGAUGGAAAACAAAGGAACUUCUGUAAUUGAAGGAAUGUCGUUAGAUCUGUCACUAGUAUCGAGCGAUAUUCACUUAGAACCUAAUACGUUUUCAAAGAUGCGUCAUCUCAGAUUUCUCAAGCUUUUCUGGUCCGGUGGACAGUUUUCCAGAUGCAGAGAAGUAAAAUUGUACUUUUCUCGUCUCGGCCUUCUGCCUCUUCCCAAGGAGUUGAGAUAUCUCGAGUGGUUUGAUUUUUCCUUGAAAACCAUACCAAGUAACUUUUUCCCUGAAAAUCUGGUUGUGCUUAAUCUUCGUGGUAUCCAGGUUAAAGAGCUUUGGACAGGAAUACAGCAUCUUGUAAAUCUAGUAGAGAUUGACCUUUCGGGAUCUGUAAAUUUGACUAGAUUUCCAGAUAUGUCACAGGCUAGAAAUGUGGCAAUAAUCGACCUUGGUCGCUGUAGUAGUUUAGUGGAGGUUCACUCUUCCGUUCAAUAUCUCAACAGGCUGGAAGUGCUCAAUCUCGAGGAUUGUGUAAACCUAAGGAAUCUUCCAAGAAGAAUUGAUUCCACGGUUUUUACAUAUCUUGAUUUACAGAAUUGCCCACGUUUAAAAAGAUGUCCAGAUAUUAUGCUAGAAAAUCUGCAAAUGCUACAUAUAAACUGUACUUCAAUAAUUGAGGUGCCACUAUCAUUUCCUCUACUUCUGCCAACACUUAAGGAUUGCAGAAACGUCUCAAGUCUACCAGCCAGUUUCUGUAAACUGAAGUCUCUUCAGGCACUUGGGUUAUGGAAUUGGUCAGAAAUUGAGAGUUUCCCAGAAAUCUCGGAACCCAUGAAUCUAACAUACAUAGAUUUGAGUAACUGCAGAAAUCUAAAGAGGCUUCCGGACAGCAUCUGUAAUUUAAAAUCCUUGGAAAUUCUUAUUUUGAAUGGAACGGCUAUAAAACAGAUACCGUUAUCGACUGAACAUCUACAUUUAAAAUCCUUGGAACUCCAAGACUGCAAAUACCUUGAUAGCCUUCCUAGUUGUAUCAGUAGACUGCCUAAACUGGGUAUUUUGCGCAUAAACGGCUGCAAGAGUCUCUGUUAUUUACCUGAGCUUCCGCCGUCUUUAAUUUCUCUAUUUGCAUUUAACUGCAUAUCCCUGGAAAUUAUAUCAUGGAAACUCAGAGAAUAUCGCUAUCUUUCCAAUUUGGAUUUUACAAACUGCUCAAAAUUAGAUGAAAAGGCUUCGGGUGCUCAUCUGAAUCAGCAUGCUACAAUUUGGAGUCCUACUAUUGUCUAUCCAGGAAGUAAAGUUCCAGAAUGGUUUAGUUUGCAAAGUAUGGGAGCCUCCAUUGUGAUACAGUUUCCCUUAAAUUUGGAUCAUGUCAAAAGAAUUGCUCUCUGCGUUGUCUUUAAAUUUAAGAAACUUCCAAAGGAGUUUUUUGAGUUGGUUUUUAAGAUCAAAUGCAUAGACAACGCCACAUGCAACAACAACGAUGAUGUUUUUACGACAAUCUAUAGUCGGUGUUAUGUUCCAUCAAAGUCAGAACAUGUACUAAUCGUGUCCAAAAGACUCAGAUACUUCGAACAAUUUUCAGGAACUGUAUCACUUGAAUUCUGUCCCUAUAGGCCUUUCGGGUAUCCAACAACAGAACUUGAAAUUUUGAAGCAUUGUGAGGUGAAAAGAUGUGGUAUCCAUCUGCUACGACAUGAGACAUUCGUUGGUGAUGGUGACUGACGACACUAGCUUCAAAAUAUUUCAGAGUUAACAAAACAAACGUUACAUUAAACAGAGUUAAUCAAAACAAACGUUACACGUCCUUAUGGCUUCUCCGGCAGCCUCGUCUUCCACAGCUGCUGAAACCGUCGCACGCCAAGACAACCGACCAGCCUUCUCCAGAAACUUCAUCUUCCAAAGGUCUUCAAGCCGUUACGUGACGCAGCAAUCAAUCGCCUUCAAGCCGUUACGUGACGCAUCAAUCAAUCGCCUUCAAGCAAACCGUUACAUGAAAAACCAAACAAUCACCUUCAGCCAUCAAUUGCACUUGCAACGCCAGCUAUAAAAUCAAAGCAGACCAAUGAAUCACCUUCAAUCACCAAUUGCAAUUGUUUGUAACCUCAGGUAUAAAAUCCAAAAAAAAAAAACAACACUCGGCUUCGUCAAAGAACUCACCUGUGGCGUGGAAACUAUCACACUCCGAAACUCAGGUUCAUCAGUACAGGAUAUUACAGCUCCCCGGAAACAUUACACUGCCAAAAGAGAAUUGGAUUGCUGCACUUCAUUUGCUAUUAACGGGUCCCUAAACAAUCUUCGAAGAGCAAAGGUUGAUUUCAACACCAUUGACAAUUUGGGUAUGUGGUGGCUACCGUCUUUUGGCUCUUCCUGCCACUUUUUACCUUAAUAAUCAAAAGUAUCCGGACUACGUUUUGAGGUCAAAUCAUAGGUCCCCAAAUUUAGAACAAAGGAUCAACCCAACUCUCAAAUUUGUGUCUCGAGAUCAAAUAAGUAUAGUUUUAGUUUUUUUGGAUCAAUUAGAUCCGCAAACUUGUGUUUUGAGGUCAAAUCAAAUAGGUCUCCAAAUUUAUGUCUCGGGGUCAAAUAAGUCCGUGUUUGAAGUAUAUAAUUUCGGGAUUAUUUGUCUUAAAUUAAGAGAGUUUAAGGACCUAAUUGACUUAAAAUGAUUUUUUUGACUCCGAAAACACAAGUUUGUGUAUCUAAUUGACCCAAAGUAAAAUAAAAUAUACUACUUAUUUGACUAUGAGAUACAAGUUUGAGAGCCACGUUGACUUUUUGUUUGAGAGCCACGUUGACGGAGGUUGCUAAUCUUGCUGGCUGGGAUUCAUCCGUUACCUG